GACGAACGCUGGCGGCGUGCUUAACACAUGCAAGUCGAACGGAAAGGCCCUGCUUUUGUGGGGUGCUCGAGUGGCGAACGGGUGAGUAACACGUGAGUAACCUGCCCUUGACUUUGGGAUAACUUCAGGAAACUGGGGCUAAUACCGGAUAGGAGCUCCUGCUGCAUGGUGGGGGUUGGAAAGUUUCGGCGGUUGGGGAUGGACUCGCGGCUUAUCAGCUUGUUGGUGGGGUAGUGGCUUACCAAGGCUUUGACGGGUAGCCGGCCUGAGAGGGUGACCGGCCACAUUGGGACUGAGAUACGGCCCAGACUCCUACGGGAGGCAGCAGUGGGGAAUAUUGCACAAUGGGCGGAAGCCUGAUGCAGCAACGCCGCGUGCGGGAUGACGGCCUUCGGGUUGUAAACCGCUUUCGCCUGUGACGAAGCGUGAGUGACGGUAAUGGGUAAAGAAGCACCGGCUAACUACGUGCCAGCAGCCGCGGUGAUACGUAGGGUGCGAGCGUUGUCCGGAUUUAUUGGGCGUAAAGGGCUCGUAGGUGGUUGAUCGCGUCGGAAGUGUAAUCUUGGGGCUUAACCCUGAGCGUGCUUUCGAUACGGGUUGACUUGAGGAAGGUAGGGGAGAAUGGGAUUCCUGGUGGAGCGGUGGAAUGCGCAGAUAUCAGGAGGAACACCAGUGGCGAAGGCGGUUCUCUGGGCCUUUCCUGACGCUGAGGAGCGAAAGCGUGGGGAGCGAACAGGCUUAGAUACCCUGGUAGUCCACGCUGUAAACGGUGGGUACUAGGUGUGGGGUCCAUUCCACGGGUUCCGUGCCGUAGCUAACGCUUUAAGUACCCCGCCUGGGGAGUACGGCCGCAAGGCUAAAACUCAAAGGAAUUGACGGGGCCCCGCACAAGCGGCGGAGCAUGCGGAUUAAUUCGAUGCAACGCGUAGAACCUUACCUGGGUUUGACAUGGAUCGGGAGUGCUCAGAGAUGGGUGUGCCUCUUUUGGGGUCGGUUCACAGGUGGUGCAUGCCUGUCGUCAGCUCGUGUCGUGAGAUGUUGGGUUAAGUCCCGCAACGAGCGCAACCCUUGUUUACUGUUGCCAGCACGUUAUGGUGGGGACUCAGUGGAGACCGCCGGGGUCAACUCGGAGGAAGGUGGGGAUGACGUCAAGUCAUCAUGCCCCUUAUGUCCAGGGCUUCACGCAUGCUACAAUGGCUGGUACAGAGAGUGGCGAGCCUGUGAGGGUGAGCGAAUCUCGGAAAGCCGGUCUCAGUUCGGAUUGGGGUCUGCAACUCGACCUCAUGAAGUCGGAGUCGCUAGUAAUCGCAGAUCAGCAACGCUGCGGUGAAUACGUUCCCGGG
rnacentral:rRNA from 1 species